rnacentral:rRNA from 1 species
AUACGGAGGAUCCGAGCGUUAUCCGGAUUUAUUGGGUUUAAAGGGAGCGUAGGUGGAUUGUUAAGUCAGUUGUGAAAGUUUGCGGCUCAACCGUAAAAUUGCAGUUGAAACUGGCAGUCUUGAGUACAGUAGAGGUGGGCGGAAUUCGUGGUGUAGCGGUGAAAUGCUUAGAUAUCACGAAGAACUCCGAUUGCGAAGGCAGCUCACUAGACUGUUACUGACACUGAUGCUCGAAAGUGUGGGUAUCAAACAGAAUUAGAUACCCUGGUAGUCCACACAGUAAACGAUGAAUACUCGCUGUUUGCGAUAUACAGUAAGCGGCCAAGCGAAAGCAUUAAGUAUUCCACCUGGGGAGUACGCCGGCAACGGUGAAACUCAAAUGAAUUGGCGGGG